rnacentral:rRNA from 1 species
CCUACGUGGUGCAGCAGUGGGGAAUAUUGCACAAUGGGGGAAACCCUGAUGCAGCGACGCCGCGUGAGUGAAGAAGUAUCUCGGUACGUAAAGCUCUAUCAGCAGGGAAGAAAAUGACGGUACCUGACUAAGACGCCCCGGCUAACUACGUUCCAGCAGCCGCGGUAAUACGUAGGGGGCAAGCGUUAUCCGGAUUUACUGGGUGUAAAGGGAGCGUAGACGGCAGCACAAGUCUGGAGUGAAAUCCCGGGGCUUAACCCCGGACCUGCUUUGGAAACUGGGCGGCUGGAGUGCAGGAGGGGUAAGCGGAAUUCCUAGUGUAGCGGUGAAAUGCGUAGAUAUUAGGAGGAACACCGGUGGCGAAGGCGGCUUACUGGACUGUAACUGACGUUGAGGCUCGAAAGCGUGGGGAGCAAACAGGAUUAGAUACCCGAGUAGUC